UACGGAGGGGGCUAGCGUUGUUCGGAAUUACUGGGCGUAAAGCGUACGUAGGCGGCUUUGUAAGUUAGAGGUGAAAGCCCGGGGCUCAACCCCGGAAUUGCCUUUAAGACUGCAUCGCUCGAACGUCGGAGAGGUGAGUGGAAUUCCGAGUGUAGAGGUGAAAUUCGUAGAUAUUCGGAAGAACACCAGUGGCGAAGGCGGCUCACUGGACGACUGUUGACGCUGAGGUACGAAAGCGUGGGGAGCAAACAGG
rnacentral:rRNA from 1 species